CCUACGGGAGGCAGCAGUGAGGAAUAUUGGUCAAUGGCCGUGAGUCUGAACCAGCCAAGUAGCGUGAAGGAUGAAUGCCCUAUGGUUUGUAACCUUCUUUUAUAUGGGAAUAAAACGUUCCACGUGUGGGUUUUUGUAUGUACCCUAUGAAUAAGCAUCGGCUAACUCCGUGCCAGCAGCCGCGGUAAUACGGAGGAUGCGAGCGUUAUCCGGAUUUAUUGGGUUUAAAGGGUGCGUAGGUGGAUUGUUAAGGCAGUGGUGAAAGUUUGUGGCUCAACCGUAAAAUUGCAGUUGAAACUGGAAGACUUGAGUACAGUAGAGGUAGGCGGAAUGCGUGGUGUAGCGGUGAAAUGCUUAGAUAUCACGAAGAACUCCGAUUGCGAAGGCAGUUUACUGGGCUGCAACUGACACUGAAGCACGAAAGCGUGGGGAUCAAACAGGAUUAGAUACCCCUGUAGUC
rnacentral:rRNA from 1 species